AGCAGCCGCGGUAAUUCCAGCUCCAAUAGCGUAUAUUAAAGUUGUUGCAGUUAAAAAGCUCGUAGUUGAAUUUCGGGGUCAGUAGGUUGGUCGUGCCACCGGUACGUACUGGUCUCACUGAUUCCUCCUUCCUGAAGAACCGUAAUGCCAUUAAUUUGGUGUUGCGGGGAAACAGGACUGUUACUUUGAAAAAAUUGAGUGUUUAAAGCAAGCUGACGCUUGAAUACAUUAGCAUGGAAUAAUGAAAUAGGACGAUCGAUCCUAUUUUGUUGGUUUCUAGGAUUGACGUAAUGAUUAAUGGGAUAGUUGGGGCAUU
rnacentral:rRNA from 1 species